rnacentral:rRNA from 1 species
AGAGAGAGACAUGCGCGCAUAUCAAUAAGCGGAGGAAAAGAAACUAACUAGGAUUCCCUCAGUAACGGCGAGUGAAGCGGGAAGAGCUCAAAUUUGAAAUCUUCAAGGUUCUACCUUGACGAAUUGUAGUUUAAAGAAGUGUUUUCUGUUGGAGUUUUGGUAAAAGUUCUUUGGAAUAGGACAUCAUAGAGGGUGAGAAUCCCGUAUUUGACCAUUAUUUCCAGCUUUGUGAUACACUUUCAAAGAGUCGGAUUGUUUGGGAAUGCAGUCCAAAAUGGGUGGUAAAUUUCAUCUAAAGCUAAAUAUUGGCGAGAGACCGAUAGCGAACAAGUACCGUGAGGGAAAGAUGAAAAGAACUUUGAAAAGAGAGUUAAACAGUACGUGAAAUUGUCAAAAGGGAAGCGUUUGACACCAGUGUUGUUUUUCUGAAAAUCAAUUAAAGAACUGUUUAUACUAAGCUGUUUAGACUUUAUCAGCUAACUGUUUAGUUUUGAGCUUUUCUUUAAUGCACUUUUCAGUUAACAAGUCAACAUCAAUUUCUUUUGCUGUAAAAAAGCUUGAGGAAGGUGGCUUGAGAUUCGUCUUAAGUGUUUAUAGCCUCUUGCCUAUGCAGUCGGAGAGAUUGAGGUCUGCAGCGUAGAUCCUUCGGGGCUAAAUGCAUUUGUGCUAAGUUAUAGCAUUUUAUAGACAACUUGUUGACUAUGAUUUGUCUUGUAGCUUACUCGCUUAUGUUAUUUUACCUACGCUUAGGAUGUUGAAGACUCUACAGAGAU